CUCCUUCUCUUUCACAGGCGACCUGGCCUGGCCCAGCCAGAAAUCCUCAUAACUUUACUGUUUCUCCUUUUAAUCCUUUCCUCCACCUCCAGGAUACAGAUGGGCCAAUCUCAAAGCACUCCUCUUUCUCUCCUCGUUGCUAACUUCAGGGAUGUUAAAACCAGAGGACAGAAUUUGAGUUUAGACAUCCGGCGGGGAAAAUUAAUAACCCUCUGCCGCUCCGAAUGGCCAACCUUCGGCGUUGGAUGGCCAACCGAAGGAACUUUCUGCCUCCCUAUAAUUGCUAAGCUCUUUUAGACAGUGUCAUGUUCACCCACCAGCCCACCUGGGAUGACUGUCAGCAGCUCCUCCGCAUCCUGUUCACCACAGAGGAGUGAGAGAGGAUCCAAUUAGAAGCAAGAAAGCUGGUUCCUGGAGACGACGGUCGGCCGACAUCUAACCCUGACCUCAUUAAUGCGGCUUUCCCCCCAACCAGACCUCCACAGGACGAAUGGGACUACAACACGGCAGAAGGUAGGGGAAGGCUACUCAUUUAUCGCCAGACUCUGAUGGCGGGUCUCUGGGCUGCAGCUCGCAAGCCCACCAAUUUGGCUAAGGUAUAUUCGGUCGUACAGGGAAAGGCAGAGAGUCCAGCUGCUUACUUAGAGAGAUUAAUGGAAGCCUUUAGGCAGUUUACUCCCAUGGAUUCAGAAGUCCCUGAAAACCAGGCUGCUGUCGUUAUGUCCUUUGUAAAUCAAGCAGCUCCUGACAUUAAAAAAAACUCCAAAGGCUAGAGGAUUUAGAAGGUAAACAGAUCCAGGAUCUGCUCCGUAUAGCACAACGGGUCUACAACAACAGGGAUGCCCCAGAAGAGAGACAGAUCAAAGCCACAGAGAAAAUGACUAAAGUCCUGGCCGCUAUAGUCCAGAAAGAACAGCCACCCCCAGAAGGCAUUCAAACAAUACACCCUCCCAGGCGGCACUUAGAUAAAGGUCAAUGCGCCUAUUGUAAAGAAAAAGGCCAUUGGAUAGGAGAAUGCCCCAAGAAGAAACAACCCCGCCCCAGCCAAGGGCAAUGGCAGCCUAAAAUAGCCCCCAUACUGUUUACCCAAGAUACAGAAUAGGGAGGACGGGGUUCGGAUCCCCUCCCCGAACCUAGGGUAACAUUGCAAGUGGAGGGGACCCCGGUCCAGUUCCUAGUUGGUACCGGGGCACAGCACUCAGUUCUGGUCAAGCCCCAUGGAAAAGUAUCUGAAAAAUCAUCCUGGGUACAAGGGGCCACCGGAAUAAAGAAGUACCCCUGGACAACUCAGAGGACUGUGGACUUAGGAACUGGGAAGGUAACCCACUCCUUCCUGGUCAUUCCCGACAGCCCCUGGCCCCUGUUGGGGAGGGAUUUGCUUACCAAAAUGGGGGCCCAAAUUCAUUUCCAACCGGGGGGGCCCACAGUGACUGACUUCCACAACCAACCCAUAUCUGUACUCACUGUGAAACUAGAAGAUGAAUAUAGGCUCCAUCAGGAACCCACUCCUCUGGAUCAGGACAUCGAGCCCUGGCUUCAACGCUUCCCAGACGCGUGGGCAGAAACGGGUGGUAUGGGGUUAGCAAAACAUCACCCAGCCCUAUUUAUAGAGGUCAAGCCCGGGACGGACCCCGUCCACGUGCGCCAAUAACCUAUGCCCACGGAAGCCAAAAAUGGCAUCACACCGCACAUCCGCCGCCUCCUUGACUUCGGGGUCCUACGCACCUGCCACUCAGCAUGGAAUACCCCCCUGCUGCCCGUGCACAAACCCAACAGCGGGGAAUACAGACCAGUGCAGGACCUGAGAGAAGUCAAUAAGCGGGUGAUGGACAUACAUCCAACCGUUCCUAACCCCUAUGCUCUCCUGAGCGCCCUCAGCCCAAAAAACAAUGGUAUACUGUUCUGGAUCUAAAAGAUGCUUUUUUCAGCCUACCACUAGCGCCUAAAAGUCAAGAGCUAUUUGCAUUCGAGUGGACAGAUCCAGACAGGGGCAUAAAUGGCCAGCUCACUUGGACCCGACUGCCACAAGGAUUCAAGAACUCUCCGACCCUGUUCAACGAGGCUCUACACGAAGAUUUAAGUGAGUACAGACAACAACACCCUAAUAUAACUCUCCUACAGUAUGUUGAUGAUCUCUUAAUAGCUGCCGAGACACCCGAAACCUGCAUCCAGGGAACCGAAGGUCUCCUGCGAACUCUGGGAACCUUAGGCUACCGCGCCUCAGCACAGAAGGCUCAGAUCUGCAAGUCAGAGGGACUGCUGUUGAAUCCCCUCAGGGUCAUCUUCACCCCCCUAACGGCCCUGAACCCAGCAUCACUGCUGCCAGACCCAGACAUGGGAACCCAACUUCAUGACUGCGCUGACAUACUGGCUCAAGUUUAUGGGGUCUGGGAGGACUAGCAGGAUCAGCCAUUAUUGGACGCAGAUGCCAUCUGGUUUACCGACGAAAGCAGCUUCGUUCACCAAGGACAAAGGAUGGACUGAAGCCUUUCCAACCAAGAAUGAAACGGCGCAGAUUGUAGCCAAAAAGAUCCUAGGAGAAAUCCUGCCCAGGUAUGGUUUUCCAGUAAUGAUAGGGUCAGACAAUGGACCUGCAUUCGACUCUAAGGUAAGUCAGGGACUAGCUUCCAUACUUGGGGCUGAUUGGAAAUUACAUUGUGCAUACCGACCCCAAAGCUCAGGACAGGUAGAGAGAAUGAACAGAACCUUAAAGGAGACCCUAAACAAAUU